GGUAACUCUGACCGUGCUAAGGUAGCAUAAUCAAUCGUCACUUAAUUGGUGACUAGAAUGAAAGGCUAAACGAGCAUUCCUCUGUCUUAAAUUUAAACUUAGUGAAAUUAAACUACCCGUUAAGAUUCGGGUAUUUCUUGAUUAGACGAGAAGACCCCGUUGAGCUUUACCUAAGCUUUUUAUUUAAAUGGUUUUCCUUGGUAAGAAAAUAAUUUAACUUGGAAGAGCGACAGGUUUGGUUGGGGCGACCGCCCAAAUAAAAGAAACUUGGGUAAACAAGGGUUAAGCUUAUAAUAGAUACAGCUUUAUUAAUAGGCAGACAUGCUAAUUAAAAAGGAUUCCUCCUUUGCUAUAGUGACCCGUUACUAAUUGGUAGCGAAUCUGAAUAAAAGUUACCACGGGGAUAACAGGGUUAUCCAAUCCUAGAGUUCUUAUCGAAGAUUGGGUUUGCCACCUCGAUGUUGAAUAGCAGUGUCCUAGGGGUGUAGAAGCUCCUAAGGGUUGGUCUGUUCGAC
rnacentral:rRNA from 1 species